UACAUGUUGAGCAAGCGCAUAUAUGGCGCGUGUAAAACACAUUUUCCACUCUCUCUCUUCUUCUUCUUAUAUUGAAGACUAUAAAACUCCCUUCCUCAGAACCCCACUGCUCUCUCUUCUCUUCUCUUCUCUUCUCCAAGGGGCAAGUUUCUCCGAAGGUUCAGAGGAACCAUCAUAGAAGAAACACAGAGAGUACUUUAGAAACAAAGCAGAAGGAGUCUUUUGCUGGCAUUGAAACAGCACGCACACCAAGUGUUUGUUGGUUUGAUACAAAGAUAUUGGUGACACUUUUUGUACAUGGAAUCGGUGAAUCCAUCGGCGGUGACCCCAAGCAAGAAGUUGGCCCGGAAUUUCGCCAAGGUUCUUCAUCUUAGAGCACUGAUUGGGAUUACGCUGGUCGAUGGUUUGAAGGAUGUUAUAUCUGAUGCUAAUCUCAAGGAUGACGGAAACAUUGGCAAGGGGACAAUAAAUUGGUCACAGUCGUUCAACAAAGAUGGUGUCAUUUGUAUGGUGGGAAAUUAAAACGGAAGUUAUUACAGAAUCUUUUGAGCCAUCACUCUUCUUCUCGCACCAUAUCCUUGUUCCUUCUGAUCUAAAUUCUAAUGAGCAGGAGCAGAGGAUGCUGCAUCAUCUGGUGAUGGAAAAAUAGCGAAGGGUGGUCAAGCGAAGAAGAAGUCAAAGAAACGUCAUAGAUUGCGUUGAAGAAUAUGAUGGAGGAAUUGAACAAGAGAAUCUCUGAUUUAGAAGAGAGAAUUGCAAAGGAAGAAUCAGAUAAGUUGGAAGCAGAUAAUCGUUAGAGAAGAAAAGGAAGCAAGGAAUGCGGCUGAGAAAGUUUGUAAAGAGAAAUCAGCUGAUCUUGAGCGGAUUCAGGACAAGAAAUCAGCUGCCGAGCGAAUGGGGUGUUUGGCUCUUGGUACAAAGCGUAUGGCUAGGUUGAAUGCCAUCGUUCGGUCUUUGCCUUCUGUUGAAACCUUGGGUUGCACCACUGUAAUUUGCAGCGACAAAACUGGAACACUAACUACUAAUAUGAUGUCAGUUGCAAAGCUUUUGGACCUGCAAGGUGUUCAAUAAACAAUGGAGGUUGUUGGUCAGAAACUAAAAACAAAUUAACUUUCUCAGCUUGCUCAGAAUUUAUAGUAAAUGGUUGUCGUUGCCCAGUUGGAUUCCAUGGGGAUGGAUACAAAUGUGAAGAUGUCGAUGAAUGCAAGGAUCGAAGCGCUUGUCAAUGUGAUGGCUGCACCUGCAAGAAUACAUGGGGUAGCUAUGAUUGCAAAUGCAAAGGAAAUGUUUUUUACAUGAGGGAACAAGAUGUUUGUAUUGGAUGCUGGAAGCAAACAAUUUUAAUGGAGUUGUUCCACCUGAACUUGGGAAGCUGAUCAACUUGCAGACCUUGGUACUGUCAUCAAAUCAGUUGACCGGGAACUUACCAUCGGCACUUUGAACUUUCCCCACCAUACUCAACAGAAAAUGGAAGGCACUGCUCCUAUUUCCGAAGGUCUCCUCCUAUCAAAGAUCUUCCAAGUGUUGAGGUAGAUCUGAAGUGACAUGGUUAGAGGAGACUCAACCGCCGAAGAACUUGAUGUAAAAUGCUAGUUUAUAAUUUAAAUGGAAAUUAUUAUGUGUCUGCAUAUUGGUGAGGUAGGGAUCACUCCUGAGUCUCAAAGCUUCAAGGAUGAUGGAUUAGGCCCUCCACCAGCAAAAUGGAAAGGGAGUUGUGGCCCUUUUGCCAAUUUCUCAGGAUGCAAUAAGUAAAUUUCAUUUCUGUGUUAUUUGUAUUUUUUUUACAUUGAAUUUAUUUACUCUCAUCAACCAUUAAAUUGGUUAUGAUAUCUACAUUAUAUGAAUGAAUAAUUAUGAAAAAUCAACUUUUAAUUAGUUAA